UGAGAAAACAAGCAGUACAGUGACAUCUGUACUGUGUCUAUAUUUUAUAUUUAAUCUAUACAACUGUCAGUUAAAUACUGACAUUUUUAAACCUGCUUCAGCCAUGAAACUGCUAACUGGGAUCUCCUGGGUUUCAUUCUAGCAACAUGUGUGUGGGAGGGAAUGUAGAGAAAUAGGGGUUCAAAGAGAAGGGAAGGAAGCCUUCUCAUUUCCUCCUUUUGCUACCCAGCCAUUUGUCUGGCUCAAUCCAAAGUCUCCUUGUCCCUUCUCAUCUUGAGUAACCUAAAUCAUUUUUAUUAUUGGUAAAUCAUAUGUUGCAUGCUCAGCCUCUUGUGUAGGUCGCCCUCCCAUAGUUUUGACAAUUGUGGUUCUAGUGAGGAUUCAAGUGAUGGACGGCUGGAACUCCACAGGAAGAUAAACAGGUAAACCUGAGGAAAGUCAAGCUGUCAUGCAUUCAAGGUUCUGCUUUCCAUCACACAACUUGCUUUGAUAGCAUACAGCUGCCACGGUGUGAUUGCUUCUGGGUUUAUGCCUCAUCUCUGCUUGUGGGUCUACAGGCUCAGUUUUGCUGAGAGCUGAGGACAAGUGGUCUUCACCCCUUCUCAGACUACAUCCCAAGGAACUCCACCUACCAGCUUUCUCUAGCCCUUGCUAGAUGUGCAUUGCUAGUGUGGAACCGAGGCUUUAAGAGAAGCAACACACAUCAUGACAUGAAACCUGUGACCAAAGUAUGAAAGCUGAUGUCACUGCUAUUAUUUAAGAAAGCAGCUCCCUCUAUAUGUGCAUAGUCAGUUAACAUUAAAAAUUGGUCUUAGCACUCGUGUCAACUUUCUGUGUCACUAAAAUAUCUGUUAUUCAAAUAUCAUAUUCAAUAAGCUGACACAAAAAUGUGCUUUAAAUAGACUGCAGUAUACUAAUUAGCUCCUGCAUUUCAUCAGACCUUUACUGGGAGUUUAACAAGUGAUCACAUUUUAUAACGUUCACUGGUUGCCUUGGACUCAUCUAAAUGGUAAUAAGGGGAGGGGAAAAAAGGAACACGAACUAUUUCACUAAAUUUUCAAGAGUUUUCGGUAGCAAGUGAAUAAUUUCUGUUAAAACUUCUCUGGCAGCUGAUUCAUAUUUUUACCUAUACUGGCCGUGUUUACAUGAGACACUGACUGUACAGUUAUUACUGCAGUCAUUUAAUACUUGCGUACACAAGUACUAAACGACUGCACGGUAACUGUUAUUACUUUGCAGAAGCACCCCCAAAUGGCUUUUUGGUGAUGCUAACUGCACAGUAGCUUGUUACUACUAUGCAGUACUGUCACAUCAUGCUUUGUGCCAUUCAAUGCUAAUGCACAGUAGUAAUGAGCUACUGUGCACUCAGCUUCUUAUGUAGAUGCAGCCACUAUCAACCUCUAUGUAUUAAAAUAAUUACCUUUAAAAGACAUUUAAGUUUACAAAAUUGUUAAGACUGGCUUGAUAUCCUGGACCCAGAUUUUUUUUUUCAUAUAUUCAGUUUUCAGACUUUUUUUUCCCAAAUUCCUUCUCUUUAAGGUAGUAUUCAAAUUUGUUAUUUAAAUCUCCAGAGUUGUGAGCUAAAGAUCUCAUGUGGCCUUACUUUAUUCUCUUUCUGCUUUGCCCUGGGUUACCUUAUUGACUCCAAUAUUGGUUCUUCUGAUUUACAACAGUUCAGAAGAAGAAUCAGAUACAGCAGGCAUAUUUCCGCUUGCAAUUAAUGUGAAGCAAUAAACUUCGGAGCUUAUUGCUCCAGAGUUUAUUCCUCCCAGGUGGACCAUGCACCUAGAAGUAAUAAACUCUGAAGCAAUAAACUUCAGAGUUUAUUGCCAUUUGCAUGUGCACCUGGAAGCACAGCAUGUUGAGCUGGGUCAGAGGAGCCCUGGCUGGCAGAGAGACUGAGGGGUCAGUCUGCCAGCCUGGGGCUGCUCCCUCAAGCUCAGCAUGCUGCAGAGGGGCUGGCUGGGGCACAAGUGUGCUUCAGUGUGGAGCUAGCCAGCAGGCAUCCCCAGCAAUGAAGCACCCUUGUGCCCCAGCCAGCUGGGGCAGCAUCUACACAUGCACUGCUGCGUAGUAAGAAACUCUACAGCAGGAUAGUACUUGUAUUAAUUGGAACAGACUCAAUUAAUUCAGCCUGCUGGAACAUGCUAAUUAGCCUUGGCAUCUCAUGUAUUCAGCAUCCCCACAUUUAAAAAUGAUAGUGGGGGAACUUUAACUAAAGCUCACUGAAUGAGCUUUAGUUAAAUGCCCUCACCACCCUUUUGAAGCGGUGGGACAUUGAAUAUAUGAGACGCUGUGGGUGCUUUAAUUAAAGUGGCUCCCGAGAGCCACUCUAAUUAAAGUGCCCCCACCACACUCCACCCCACCCCAGAGCACAUGUAGAGACACCCAUUCUGUAUAACUAAAAUCCAGCACAACCUGAGCUUCCUCUGUGGUCAGGCACCUCAACAUCUACCCCAAUGUGAAUUAAAGUCAUAAUUGUAUCCAUAAUGCUUGUUUAGCAUUUUGGAGUUUUAAAAAAUAGUAUGAAUACCAGUUUUUAUUAAAUAAUGCAAUAUAGCAAUACAUUAUUUAUGAUGGAUUUUAAAACCAUAAAAUACAUAAUUCUACUUCAUUCUUUCACCCCAAAUGUCUUUCUAGUCUUCCUGGGUGUUUUGUGCGUCCUACCGUAGGAGUGUUUACACUUGUCCUGUGAUUCUCAGAACUUCUUAGUAUAGAAAUUGACUUAGAUGGUAAUAGGUUAAAAAUAUUUUUGGAUUCUUUUGCUCUUCUAGACAGUAUGGAACCAUAUUGAUUAAAAAAAUGACUCAAUAUGUCAGCAAGGAACAGCCAUCUUAAAUCACUGUGAUAAUUUAGUUACUGAAAUGAUUAAUCAGUCUUGUGAAAAUCUGUGCAAUAGCAAGAGCUUUUUAUGAGCUCAUUGUCUGUGGUCUAAGAACAUGUAUUGUAAUUUAUCAUUUCAGCUCUUUAAACAUCUGACCUGACCUUUCUGGUUUUUAUAUGUAAAGUCUUUAUUUGAACAAGGAUGAGCUUAGAUUUAUAUUAAAAAGGUCUGUUUAUUUUAAUUAAAAUAUUGCCUAAUGUGAUGUGUAAAGUUAAUAUGGUGUUUCAAAUAUGUUUUCUGUUGUGGCUGUUUAUGUUAACUAAUUAAUGAAUUAAUGGAUCAAGAAGACUUUGGAACAUGUUUAAUUUACA